rnacentral:rRNA from 1 species
GAUGAACGCUAGCGGGAGGCCUAACACAUGCAAGCCGAGCGGUAGAGUCUCUUCGGAGCCUUGAGAGCGGCGCACGGGUGCGGAACACGUGUGCAACCUGCCUUUAUCUGGGGGAUAGCCUUUCGAAAGGAAGAUUAAUACCCCAUAAUAUACUGGAUGGCAUCAUCUGGUAUUGAAAACUCCGGUGGAUAGAGAUGGGCACGCGCAAGAUUAGAUAGUUGGUGAGGUAACGGCUCACCAAGUCAGCGAUCUUUAGGGGGCCUGAGAGGGUGAUCCCCCACACUGGUACUGAGACACGGACCAGACGCCUACGGGAGGCAGCAGUGAGGAAUAUUGGACAAGGGGUGAGAGCCUGAUCCAGCCAUCCCGCGUGAAGGACGACGGCCCUAUGGGUUGUAAACUUCUUUUGUAUAGGGAUAAACCUAGAUACGUGUAUCUAGCUGAAGGUACUAUACGAAUAAGCACCGGCUAACUCCGUG